rnacentral:rRNA from 1 species
AACCGGGAAGACGAACAACAGGGAUUGCCCUAGUAACGGCGAGUGAAGCGGCAACAGCUCAAAUUUGAAAUCUGGCGUCUUUGGCGUCCGAGUUGUAAUUUGCAGAGGGCGCUUUGGCAUUGGCAGCGGUCCAAGUUCCUUGGAACAGGACGUCACAGAGGGUGAGAAUCCCGUACGUGGUCGCUAGCCUUUACCGUGUAAAGCCCCUUCGACGAGUCGAGUUGUUUGGGAAUGCAGCUCUAAAUGGGAGGUAAAUUUCUUCUAAAGCUAAAUACUGGCCAGAGACCGAUAGCGCACAAGUAGAGUGAUCGAAAGAUGAAAAGCACUUUGGAAAGAGAGUUAAAAAGCACGUGAAAUUGUUGAAAGGGAAGCGCUUGCAGCCAGACUUGCCUGUAGUUGCUCAUCCGGGUUUCUACCCGGUGCACUCUUCUAUAGGCAGGCCAGCAUCAGUUUGGGCGGUUGGAUAAAGGUCUCUGUCAUGUACCUCCUUUCGGGGAGAACUUAUAGGGGAGACGACAUGCAACCAGCCUGGACUGAGGUCCGCGCAUCUGCUAGGAUGCUGGCGUAAUGGCUGUAAGCGGCCCGUCUUGAAACACGGACCAAGGAGUCUAACAUCUAUGCGAGUGUUUGGGUGUCAAGCCCGAGCGCGUAAUGAAAGUGAACGGAGGUGGGAACCUUUCGGGGUGCACCAUCGACCGAUCCUGAUGUCUUCGGAUGGAUUUGAGUAAGAGCAUAGCUGUUGGGACCCGAAAGAUGGUGAACUAUGCUUGAAUAGGGUGAAGCCAGAGGAAACUCUGGUGGAGGCUCGCAGCGGUUCUGACGUGCAAAUCGAUCGUCAAAUUUGGGCAUAGGGGCGAAAGACUAAUCGAACUAUCUAGUAGCUGGUUCCUGCCGAAGUUUCCCUCAGAUAGCAGUAACGUUUUCAGUUUUAUGAGGUAAAGCGAAUGAUUAGAGGCCUGGGGGUUGAAACAACCUUCACCUAUUCUCAAACUUUAAAUAUGUAAGAAGUCCUUGUACUUGAUUGAACGUGGAACAGUUGAAUGUAUCGUUACUAGUGGGCCAUUUUUGUAGCAGAACUGCGAUGGCGGAUGACCGACGCGGGGUAAGGUGCAGAAUAUACGCUCAUCAGACCACAACAAAGGUGUAGUUCAUCUAAAGGCAGACGUGGCAAUGCAGUCGAUCGGCUAGGAGUUGUACACUCACUGCAUGACUAGCUGAUGAUGCUAAGCGGUUUACCAUACCCGCCGCUGUGGGCCGGACAG